UACGUAGGGUGCGAGCGUAAUCGGAAUUACUGGGCGUAAAGCGUGCGCAGGCGGUUUUGUAAGCCAGAUGUGAAAUCCCCGGGCUUAACCUGGGAAUGGCAUUUGGGACUGCAAGGCUGGAGUUUGGCAGAGGAGACUGGAAUCCUGGUGUAGCAGUGAAAUGCGUAGAUAUCAGGAGGAAUACCGAUGGCGAAGGCAGCUCGCUGGGACG
rnacentral:rRNA from 1 species